rnacentral:rRNA from 1 species
ACGGAGGGUGCAAGCGUUAUCCGGAUUCACUGGGUUUAAAGCGUGCGCAGGCGGCUUUGCAAGACAGAGGUGAAAUCCCCGGGCUCAACCUGGGAACUGCCUUUGUGACUGCAAGGCUAGAGUACGGCAGAGGGGGAUGGAAUUCCGCGUGUAGCAGUGAAAUGCGUAGAUAUGCGGAGGAACACCAAUGGCGAAGGCAAUCCCCUGGGCCUGUACUGACGCUCAUGCACGAAAGCGUGGGGAGCAAACAGGA